rnacentral:sRNA from 2 species
CAAUUUGGAACGCUGAGUUCUUUGCAAAAAGGAACGGGGGAACCAGGUUUUUGGGGUGAAUCUCUUUUCGAAGAGUAGGGUCAUCUUCUUUCGAUCCGAAUCCGUCAGCUAACCUCGUAAGCGUGGAAAGAGGAGAUUG